CUUGCUUACCACCUAGACUAAAGAGUUCCUGUCCUGUAUGUUAUUUUGGAAAUGUGAAACAUGCUGAAGCUACUUAUCCUUUCCAGUGGAGAAGCCUGCAGAUGGAGCUAAAAUGGCAGUACACCUGAUUCUGGUUCCUCCUUCAUGAGACCCUCCAGCUAGAAUUCUUCCAGGUGGUUGCUGCUUCUCUCUGGGUCAUCCAAAGUUCUGCUACUCAUGCUA